rnacentral:tRNA from 2 species
GGUCCCCUGGCCCAGUGGUACGGCGCUAGACUUCGAAUCUAGAGAUCGCGGGUUCGAUCCCCGCGGGGAUCU